AUUCAUCUGAAGAGUUCAAAAAAGGACGAAACGCGCGUUCUGAAU
rnacentral:hammerhead_ribozyme from 1 species